rnacentral:rRNA from 1 species
UACGUAGGGGGCUAGCGUUGUCCGGAAUCAUUGGGCGUAAAGAGCGUGUAGGCGGCCAGGUAGGUCUGCUGUGAAAACUCGAGGCUUAACCUCGAGAUGUCGGCGGAAACCAUCUGGCUAGAGUCCGGAAGAGGAGAAUGGAAUUCCCGGUGUAGCGGUGAAAUGCGCAGAUAUCGGGAAGAACACCCGUGGCGAAGGCGGUUCUCUGGGACGGUACUGACGCUGAGACGCGAAAGCCAGGGGAGCGAACGGG